UACGGGGGGGGCAAGCGUUGUUCGGAAUUACUGGGCGUAAAGGGCGCGUAGGCGGCCUGCUAAGUCGAACGUGAAAUCCCUGGGCUCAACCCAGGAACUGCGUCCGAUACUGGUUGGCUUGAAUCCGGGAGAGGGACGUGGAAUUCCAGGUGUAGCGGUGAAAUUCGUAGAUAUCGGGAGGAACACCAGCGGCGAAGGCGGCCUUCUGGACGGUGACUGACGCUGAGACGCGAAAGCGUGGGGAGCAACAGG
rnacentral:rRNA from 1 species